AUUGAACGCUGGCGGCAUGCCUUACACAUGCAAGUCGAACGAGGGUAGCAAUACCUUAGUGGCGAACGGGUGAGUAAUAUAUCGGAACGUACCCUAGAGUGGGGGACAACCAGUCGAAAGACUGGCUAAUACCGCAUACGAUCUCUGGAUGAAAGUGGGGGACCGCAAGGCCUCACGCUCCUGGAGCGGCCGAUAUCUGAUUAGCUAGUUGGUAGGGUAAAAGCCUACCAAGGCAUCGAUCAGUAGCUGGUCUGAGAGGACGAUCAGCCACACUGGGACUGAGACACGGCCCAGACUCCUACGGGAGGCAGCAGUGGGGAAUUUUGGACAAUGGGGGAAACCCUGAUCCAGCAAUGCCGCGUGAGUGAAGAAGGCCUUCGGGUUGUAAAGCUCUUUUGUCAGGGAAGAAAAGGCUAUGGCUAAUAUCCAUGGCUGAUGACGGUACCUGAAGAAUAAGCACCGGCUAACUACGUGCCAGCCGCCGCCGUAA
rnacentral:rRNA from 1 species